rnacentral:rRNA from 1 species
CCUACGGGUGGCAGCAGUGGGGAAUAUUGGACAAUGGGCGAAAGCCUGAUCCAGCCAUGCCGCGUGUGUGAAGAAGGCCUUCGGGUUGUAAAGCACUUUCAGUGGGGAAGAAAGCCUUGGGGCUAAUACCCUCGAGGAAGGACAUCACCCACAGAAGAAGCACCGGCUAACUCUGUGCCAGCAGCCGCGGUAAUACGGAGGGUGCGAGCGUUAAUCGGAAUUACUGGGCGUAAAGCGCGCGUAGGCGGUCUGAUAAGCCGGUUGUGAAAGCCCCGGGCUCAACCUGGGAACGGCAUCCGGAACGGUCAGGCUAGAGUGCAGGAGAGGAAGGUAGAAUUCCCGGUGUAGCGGUGAAAUGCGUAGAGAUCGGGAGGAAUACCAGUGGCGAAGGCGGCCUUCUGGACUGACACUGACGCUGAGGUGCGAAAGCGUGGGUAGCAAACAGGAUUAGAUACCCGUGUAGUC